GACGAACGCUGGCGGCGUGCUUAACACAUGCAAGUCGAACGGAAAGGCCCUGCUUUUGUGGGGUGCUCGAGUGGCGAACGGGUGAGUAACACGUGAGUAACCUGCCCUUGACUUUGGGAUAACUUCAGGAAACUGGGGCUAAUACCGGAUAGGAGCUCCUGCUGCAUGGUGGGGGUUGGAAAGUUUCGGCGGUUGGGGAUGGACUCGCGGCUUAUCAGCUUGUUGGUGGGGUAGUGGCUUACCAAGGCUUUGACGGGUAGCCGGCCUGAGAGGGUGACCGGCCACAUUGGGACUGAGAUACGGCCCAGACUCCUACGGGAGGCAGCAGUGGGGAAUAUUGCAUAAUGGGCGGAAGCAUGAUGCAGCAACGCCGCGUGCGGGAUGACGGCCUUCGGGUUGUAAACCGCUUUCGCCUGUGACGAAGCGUGAGUGACGGUAAUGGGUAAAGAAGCACCGGCUAACUACGUG
rnacentral:rRNA from 1 species